CAAGAGGUAUUUUAAUUAAAAUAUUAAUUUUGGAGAUUAAUGAUAGAAUUUACUUUUUUCUCUUGA
rnacentral:tRNA from 2 species